rnacentral:tRNA from 1 species
GGUUUUAUAGUCAAUUAUGAUCUUAAAUUGCAAAUUUAAGGGUGAAGUUAAUUUCUAAGACCU